UGGACUGGUUUUCUCAUAAAUCUCAAUGACUUUAAUCCUAACCAGGCAGAGUAUUUUUUCCUGGUACUGGGGACAGAACCCAGGGUGCCCUUCCACCCAGGUACAUUCCUAGCCCAUUUUUUAUUUGGGGCAGAGUCUUGCUAAAUUGCUAGGCGGAACUAAAAUUUGCAAUCCUCCUGCCUCAGGUGCUGGGAUUGCAGGGCUGCACCACCAGGCCUGGCUCUGGCCAGGAUGAAUUUUAAAGGUCACCGAUUCAGAGAGAGCAGCCUGAAGAGCAGGCGCGCGGUAUGGCGUGUGAGGCCCUGCGUGGGGGCCUCUGGGGAAGCCGGUGAGUCAGCCGCCUUCUCUCUAAUAGCGUUCACCUCCGCGCGAGGAGUAAUAGGAGAGGCCGUCAUUAGCCAAGGUGUGAGUAACAGGGUUCAAACUCAAGAGGGACUCGGUGUGUUCCGCUGGGGAAGGGUGAGCUGGGGCUCUUCCCUGCCUGCGGAGGAGGCGCAGACCGCGGAGUCCAAGCCCAGGGACGGCGAUGAGUCCCUUAGACACCGGCCCAGGACGGAGACCCACAGGAACACGUCUGGGAGACCCUUCACCAGUAAUGGGGUCCUGCCUGCUGCAGGGUCGGGGGUGCAAGGUCGCGUGUCCCUGGCUUAUAGGGACGCUGAUUCUCGGGCUUAAAGUCUCUGUCUUCCCUCCUGGCAGUUCACCUGGGCCACCUUUGCACAGGUUGAGGAAUGUGGCGUGGACACAGAGCGAACAUGAGCCUGCUCUUCUGCACUCCCUUUCGUCAGAGCGGAGGUGGUGCCGGGAGGAGGAGCCAUCUGUGGAGUCCAAGCAGCAAUGUGUGACUAGCAUUUGCAGGCGCCGUGUGCGUGGCCAGAAACGGACACUACGUGGCCCUGCUUGGGCCUCUAUGGUGGCAGGGCCUAGGGCAUGGAGAAAUGAGCCAGAGAAGGGGCCGUGAAAGUCUUGAAAGUAGACUUGACAUUCGUGGAGGAGCUUGGUGUGCUGAGACGCAGGACCACCAGCAGUCAAGGCUCCUGAAAAGGACCUGGAGCUUUUAGAAAAGUGGAAUCAGCAUCAGUCUGAACAAAUGGGCUUGGGGCCCAGCAACCAGGUGGGACAAGCUCCCUAGCACUGGCCAGUUCUGACUUGUUGAUCCUUUUCCUUGUGCAACUGUGCCACCCACCCCUCCCUCCGCCCUCUGCACAGCUCACCCAGCAACUAACCCCGGAGCCUCUGAGAAUGGUUGGUUGGAGUUCUCCCUGGAGUUGAGCCUUCCCUGGCCUCAAGGCAUCUGUUUUUCUUUGUCAGGUUGGACAACUCAGGACGACAGAGACUUAGGUCUGUGUGAUCUCAAGGGCCGAGCUCAACCUGGAGUCUGCGGGGGAAGCCUUGAACAUUCCCCCACAUAUUUCUGGCUUCCGUCCAGCCUAGCGUAGAAAGUGGUGGUCAGGAUGUUCUGAACACCAGCCUCUCUCCACCCGAGCCCCAGGCCCUCACUUCUGAAGAUGAGCAUAGGACAUCACUUAGUUGUCCUAGACAAAAAUAACCCAGAGUGCUGCCUGCUCUCUCACCCUGUGAACAGCCAGGGCCCAGGCUAUGACUAAGUCUGCUGGGGGAAUCCAGAGGCCAGGACCCUUGCAAUGCUGGAGUCUAAAGGCUCCUGGGUCCUAAAGCUUCCUCUGUUUCCAAUAAGAUUUGUCUGAGAUAUUUCCCCAAUAAUUAGCUAAGCAAAGAGGAAAAGAGCACAUCAUUUUAUAAAAAUCUUUUUUUGUCUGUUUUUUUUUUACAGUGCUGGGGAUCAAAAUCAGGGCCUUGCAUGUGUCAUGUUUCAGUAGUAAAACACUACUGGACUGCCCCCUUACCCCUUAAGAGAGCUUUCAGGUAUGAAUGAUGGGUCCUUGGGAGGCUGAGGCAGGAGGAUCACAGCCUGGGCAAGUUGGUGGGACCCUACCUCAAAAGCAAAGCAAAACAGGCUGGGAUGUAGCUCAGUGGCAGAGGCUUUCCCUAGCAUAUAUGAGGCCCUGGGUACAAUCUCCACACACAACCCCCCAAGAAUAAAGAGCAUGUUUUUACUAUGCAAUCAAUUCUUGAGAAAUCUGGGGUAGGAAUUCUCCCAUUUUAGAAAUCUCCAGCUUCUUUUCUCCCAGACUCCUCUUUAUUCAUUCCUUCAGCAAAUAUUCCAUCUGUGGGAGACCAGGCCCUGGGUGAAGCGCAUGCACAGUCGAGAAGAGCCCGUUUCUUGUAUAAUAUUAGCCAGACUGACUCCGAGAUUUAACAUAGCAGUCAGGAAAAGAAGGGUACUAAUGAAAUAUUUGCCACACAAUUUCAACAUCCCAGGAAAUAAUGCUGUGGGUUCAAUCAGUCACUCUGGUGGUAGGUGAGGGAGCCCUUUAAAAGCAGGCAUCAGCAGAAGGGAAGGAUUCUUCAAGACUGGUUGUUUUUACAGACACCUCAAUCUGGUACAUUUCCUACGAAAAGAGUAUCCUUUUCUUUCAACAUUUGAGAAGUAUAAGUGAGCAUCAGUUUUAGAGAGGAACAGAAGAACAAAGCUCCCUUUCUGUAUUAACAAUAGAGUAGCUUAAUGUUGUUUUUUAAAGUUUCUACUGACCUGAAAAACACCGAGAGCUACGAAAUUGGAUUCGGAGUUGGAGGGUGAAGGAAUCCCGGAGCUGUGGGUGUGCAGCCACAUCAACAACAGAAACAAAUGACCAAGCAAAAUGGGCCUGGGUCCUGAAACACUAUGAAUCCUGGGCCCAGCAGGGAGCCCCUGCCACAUGACCUCUCAGCUUCCCUGGGACCAGGAAACAAAGGAGAGGGGAGGAGACCUGGGGACAAAGAUCAAGAGCUGUAGAAACCACCCCUGGGUGAGGAUGCCACCGUCACCCAGGUCUGAGUUUCAGCCUUGGUGUUUUACCUCACCCAGAAGAUAUUAAAAAUUUACCCAAGCUACAAAAGGACUAAGGAGAUGGGCACCACGCCUCAGGCACCAGCUCCUCCAGGCUGCCCCGUUGUGAGGAGAGACUUUUCGGCUAGAGCCCUCAACCCUCCUUUGGAGCUCCCCUCUGCCUGCCCAAAGAUCUCUG
rnacentral:lncRNA from 1 species